GACGAACGCUGGCGGCGUGCCUAAUACAUGCAAGUCGAGCGAAUCAAUAGGAGCUUGCUCCUGUUGGUUAGCGGCGGACGGGUGAGUAACACGUGGGCAACCUGCCUGUAAGACUGGGAUAACACCGGGAAACCGGUGCUAAUACCGGAUAAUCCUUUUCCUCUCAUGAGGAAAAGCUGAAAGUCGGUUUCGGCUGACACUUACAGAUGGGCCCGCGGCGCAUUAGCUAGUUGGUGAGGUAACGGCUCACCAAGGCGACGAUGCGUAGCCGACCUGAGAGGGUGAUCGGCCACACUGGGACUGAGACACGGCCCAGACUCCUACGGGAGGCAGCAGUAGGGAAUCUUCCACAAUGGACGAAAGUCUGAUGGAGCAACACCGCGUGAGCGAUGAAGGCCUUCGGGUCGUAAAGCUCUGUUGUUAGGGAAGAACAAGUACCGGAGUAACUGCCGGUACCUUGACGGUACCUAACCAGAAAGCCACGGCUAACUACGUGCCAGCCGCCGCAGUAAAAC
rnacentral:rRNA from 1 species